rnacentral:misc_RNA from 1 species
GCGGCCACCUCCCUGCCCCCCCCACGACACCCGUGAAAAGGGGCUUUUGCGCGACGCGAGAACCACCCCGUGGGCGGACCCCCCCUCUCAGCGACGCCGCCCAGGCGAAGCAGAGCUGGCCGCAGGGAAAGGCAGCCAAGCCCAGGGCCAGCGCCUCGCCUUCGCGGAAGAGCAUCGCCGCCAGCCGACCGAAACGCGACAACACAAAUGUGUCGCGCACAAAAAUGCGUUUUUUGUAUGCACGAAGCUAGGUGUAACCGGGAUGAUCUGCCGAAGGCCGAUCUCAUUCGCGCAACGGCUAAACGCAGUCCUAAAAACGU